CACAUACCCUGCAUUUCUAACUUGUCAGUUCUGCCACACCAUCUGGGGUAGGCAGUUCCUUCUCCUUCUUCACUACUACCAGUGCGCACGCACACACGCACGCAUGCACACACACACACACACACUCACACACACUUCAGGCUUCUUUUUCAGACAUCUUCUUUUUUUUCCUCAUAAGAAAUAGCCUCAAGAAUUCAACCAUAUCCUCAGGAAAUCAUAUUAACCGGUGUUCAAUAUCUUGAUCCAUCUCAAAAGGCCAUAUCACAUUGAGAAGUAAUAAAAUCAGCUAUUUUACUGUCAACAUUUUCUUCCAGCCCAUUUGCUUAUGUGGACCCCUUGCACUGUAACAUGGCCUAUUUGUACCUUGAGCUCCUCAAAGACUCACUCAACGAGUAUGCAUAUGCAGCAGAGCUAGCAGGCUUGAGCUAUGAUCUCCAAAAUACCAUCUAUGGGAUGUAUCUUUCAGUGAAAGGUUACAAUGA
rnacentral:lncRNA from 10 species